rnacentral:rRNA from 1 species
UACAAAGGGGGCUAGCGUUGUUCGGAAUUACUGGGCGUAAAGCGUGCGCAGGCGGUCUCUCAAGUCAGGGGUGAAAGCCCAGAGCUCAACUCUGGAACUGCCCUUGAAACUGUGAGGCUCGAGUACGGGAGAGGUGAGUGGAAUUCCCAGUGUAGAGGUGAAAUUCGUAGAUAUUGGGAAGAACACCGGUGGCGAAGGCGGCUCACUGGCCCGUUUCUGACGCUCAUGCACGAUAGCGUGGGGAUCAAACAGG